GAAGCUAAAUUUAAACAGUGAUGCGUGCAACAUGUUUUCAAAAGGAACAGACAGAAUUUGGAGUCUUUGUUGUGUUGUUGGUAUAUGUAUAUAUAUUUAUAUAUUAUUUUUCUUCCCUUAGANAUUGGUUUUAAGUCUGCAUAAUUGGUUUUAACAGUAUGUUUGGAUGAACAGAAAUGAGCAUGUGGCAGUGAUGGACUAUAUAAAGAAGUUUUGAAGCAUAUUUAAAGUUUGCACAUGAUUCAUGCAGGUAGAUAUGCAAUUAGGCAAAUAAGUCAGCUCAUUUAUUAGCUG
rnacentral:lncRNA from 1 species